GGUUUAAUUCGAUGAUACGCGAGGAACCUUACCCGGGCUUGAAUUGCAGAGGAAGGAUUUGGGGACAAUGACGCCCUUCGGGGUCUCUGUGAAGGUGCUGCAUGGUUGUCGUCAGCUCGUGCCGUGAGGUGUCGGCUUAAGUGCCAUAACGAGCGCAACCCCUCUCCUUAGUUGCCAUCAGUUGAAGCUGGGCACUCUGGGGACACUGCCACCGUAAGGUGUGA
rnacentral:rRNA from 1 species